AGGGCACCACCAGGAGUGGAGCCUGCGGCUUAAUUUGACUCAACACGGGAAAUCUCACCAGGCCCGGACACCGGAAGGAUUGACAGAUUGAGAGCUCUUUCUUGAUUCGGUGGGUGGUGGUGCAUGGCCGUUCUUAGUUGGUGGAGCGAUUUGUCUGGUUAAUUCCGAUAACGAACGAGACUCUGGCCUACUAACUAGACGUUGGAUCAUCUAUGGUCCUUCGCUGCUUCUUAGAGGGACGGGCGGCGUUCAGCCGCACGAGAAUGAGCAAUAACAGGUCUGUGAUGCCCUUAGAUGUUCUGGGCUGCACGCGCGCUACACUGAAGGAAUCAGCGUGUGUACCCUGUCCGAAAGGACUGGGAAACCCGUUGAACCUCCUUCGUGAUGGGGAUUGGGGAUUGAAAUUAUUCCCCAUGAACGAGGAAUUCCCAGUAGGCGCGAGUCAUAAGCUUGCGUCGAUUACGUCCCUGCCCUUUGUACACACCGCCCGUCGCUACUACCGAUCGAGUGAUUUAGUGA
rnacentral:rRNA from 1 species